rnacentral:pre_miRNA from 1 species
AGUAUACUCCCUCCGUUCGGAAUUACUUGUCUCGAAUAUGGAUGUAUCUAGAACUAAAAUACAUCUAGAUACAUCCAUUUCUGCGACAAGUAAUUCCGAACGGAGGGAGUAUUUA